CCUACGGGAGGCAGCAGUGAGGAAUAUUGGUCAAUGGCCGAGAGGCUGAACCAGCCAAGUAGCGUGAAGGAUGACUGCCCUACGGGUUGUAAACUUCUUUUAUGCGGGAAUAAAGUGAGGCACGCGUGCCUUUUUGUAUGUACCGCAUGAAUAAGCAUCGGCUAAUUCCGUGCCAGCAGCCGCGGUAAU
rnacentral:rRNA from 1 species